rnacentral:rRNA from 1 species
UACGGGGGGGGCAAGCGUUGUUCGGAAUUACUGGGCGUAAAGGGCUCGUAGGCGGCCAACUAAGUCAGACGUGAAAUCCCCGGGCUCAACCUGGGAAUUGCGAUGGAGACUGCAAGGCUAGAAUCUGGCAGAGGGGGGUAGAAUUCCACGUGUAGCAGUGAAAUGCGUAGAGAUGUGGAGGAACACCGAUGGCGAAGGCAGCCCCCUGGGUCAAGAUUGACGCUCAUGCACGAAAGCGUGGGGAGCAAACAGG